UACGUAGGGCGCGAGCGUUGUCCGGAUUUCUUGGGCGUAAAGAGCUCGUAGGCGGCUUGUUGCGUCGACCGUGAAAACCCGCGGCUUAACUGCGGGCUUGCGGUCGAUACGGGCGGGCUGGAGUUCGGUAGGGGAGACUGGAAUUCCUGGUGUAGCGGUGAAAUGCGCAGAUAUCAGGAGGAACACCGGUGGCGAAGGCGGGUCUCUGGGCCGAUACUGACGCUGAGGAGCGAAAGCAUGGGGAGCGAACAGG
rnacentral:rRNA from 1 species